AUAACAUCAGAAUUGAGUUUGCUCUUUCUCGCUCUCUCUCUCUCUGCUCAGUUGUCUCUGUUUCUCUCUCUCUCUUUUUUUUUUUCUUUUAGACAGAGUCUUGCUCUGUCACCCAGGCUAGAGUGCAGUGGCACAAUCUCGGCUCACUGCAACCUUCACCUCCCAGAUUCAAGUGAUUAGAGUGCCCCAGUGUCCUGAGUAGCUAAGAUUACAGGCGCACGCCACCAUGCCUGGCUAAUUUUUGAAUUUUUAGUAGAGAUGGGGUUUCACCAUCUCGGCCAGGCUGGUCUCGAACUCCUGACCUCAUGAUCCACCUGCCUCGGCUUCCCAAAGUGCUGGGAUUACAGGUGUAAGCCACUGUGCCACGAUUUUUUUUUUUUUUUUGAGACAGAGUCUCACUCUGGUCACCCAGACUGGAGUGGAGUGACAGGCGAUCGUGGCUAACUGCAGCAUCGACCUGGGCUCAGGUGAUCCUCCCACCUCAGCCUCCCUAGGACCACAGGUAUGAGCCACCACAUCUGGCUAAUUUUUGUAUUGUUUGUAUAGAGACAGGGUUUUUCCAUGUUUCUCAGGCUGGUCUCGAACUCCUGGGCUCAAGCAGUCUACCUGCCUCGGCCUCCCAAAGUGCUGGGAUUAUAGGCAUGAGCCACCUCGCCCAGCCGAAUCUAUUUCUAUCUUUCUGCUCUUCUUUCCUCUACAUUGGCAUAAUUUUCCAGCAGGAUCUUCCCUCAGGGUAUCCCAUAUGGAUCUGGGCUUACAUCUUAACAAUCUAGCAACCCCAUCA
rnacentral:lncRNA from 1 species